rnacentral:rRNA from 1 species
UAAUACGCGGUCCUCGAGCGUUAUCCGGAUUUAUUGGGCGUAAAGAGUCCGUAGGCGGCUUAGUAAGUUUCUGGUUAAAGUCCAUGGCUUAACUAUGAGAAUGUCAGAAAUACUACUGGGCUAGAGGGCGUUAGGAGCUGAUGGAACGGUCGGUGUAGGGGUGAAAUCCGUUGAUAUCGACCGGAACACCAAAAGCGAAGGCAUUCAGCUAGAACGACCCUGACGCUGAGGGACGAAAGCGUGGGGAGCAAAAAGGAUUAGAUACCCUUGUAGUCCACGCUGUAAAUGAUGGACAUUAGCUAUUUGAAGUGUCGACCCUUCAAGUGGCGAAGCUAACGCGUUAAAUGUCCCGCCUGGGAAGUACGUCGGCAACGAUA